AGAAAAGGAAGUGUUCUCAGGUGACUAAUAGGUGGGUCAGGGUUUCCCAGCGUCUGGCCAUCUUGGGACAUGAAACAAAAAACACAGGGACCCAGCCUACCUUGAACUAGCUUACAGCUCUACCACUUAGCUGCUGGGAAAGCACCAGAAACUGCUCCUCCUUUUUCAAUACAGCUUGGACAACACCAGGAAGAUGCUACUGUUCUGACUCUGGUCCUGUGCCCCAUGCACAAUGGCUGAGGAUGGAAUGAGAUGGCUGGAGUAAGAAAAGGAGGAGAGUCAGCGUGCCCAGCAGAUAAGCCUCAGGUGGCCCUAUGGAAGCAGGGACUCUCCCAGGAGCUCGUGGACCGGAUGUACUGCCCAGAUGCAGGAAAUGAUUCUUCCCGUCAUCGACCUAUGCCUUCCUGGACUGUCCCUUUUAGAGCUUCAUGUUGACGGACUCCUCAGUUUCCUUAUGUGUUGUUUAUUGGCUUUUAUGGGAUUAUUUAAUCUAAACCUUUGGUUGCAGGAGACAGACAUGCUUGAGCUAGCCUGUGAGACAAGAUAUGGUGGCAGGAAGUAUAGCAUAUCACGUGAGACUAACUGGGAAUGUUAAGGUUAUGAGAAAUGAGGCAUUAUCAUCUGACAGCCGAAAGCCACUGUAUUCUCAUUUCUGCAUUUAUCUGUCUGCUCGAUUCUUCCUUUCUGCAAAAUGGCUUUCUCUGCUUCUUUGUAUACCUGCGAAAAGUGGCCCCUCUAAAGCUGAUAGAUUUCUAAGUCCUAGGUUUGAGAGCAGUAACACAUGGCCUGGCUUCUCUGAUUUUUUACUUCCUUAUUUCUGGCAGUGGGUUAGUUUGAAGCCGCUGUCCCCAGAGUCCAAUCAGCUAUGGGCUAGGGACAAAGUUGGACUUCCCAGGUGGCUCAAUGAUAAAGAACCUGCCUGUCAAUGCAGGAGACAUGGGUUCUAUUCCUGGGUCUGGAAGAUCCCCUGGAGAAGGAAAUGGCAGCCCACUCCAGUAUUCUUGCCUGGGACAUCCCACAAACAGAGGGGCCUGGUGGGCUACAGUCUAUGGGGUCUCAGAGAGUUGGACACAACUUAGCAACUAAACAACAAUAACAAGGGCAAAGUCAGGACAUUAUAGGUGACUGACCCUGUGAGCCGUGAUGGUGGUGAUGGGGGUAGGUCCCAGAAGAGGGAAUCAUGGGUUAAGCAGCGUCUGCAUAACUUGACCUUGACUGAUGUGAACUUGUGUGCUUCAUUCAACGUGUGAUCAUUAUGAGUAUUAUGCUUGGGAGGCUUGUUUAUCUGUAGAGUAUGUGUGUGUGUGUGUGUGUGUGUGUGUGUGUGUGUGUGUGUAUGAAUGUGUGUGUGUGUGUGUGUAUGUGAGAGGGAGAGAGGCUUGGUGUCCAUGCCUGGUGACUUCCCAUCCUGUCUUUCAUUUCUCUCUGAGGCAGUUCCUGUGCUAUGAAUCAGGGACUCAGUGGCAAACAAAGAAGACACAGUCCUUGCUGUGACCCACCAGGGAGGCAGAUGUUCCUCAGGGUAUCACACAAAUGAAUGUUUGAACUGAGGUCUUAGGGGCAAGCAGGGUUGAGCAAUUCCAUUCAGCGGACAAGUUAUACCAAGUUUCUGAGGUUGGAGGAAGAGGUCAAUUUGAGGAAUCAAAAGGAAGCUUGUGUGGAUGGAGUUCAGAGGGCAAGGCGACAGCUGUUAAGCAAGCACAGCCUGGACCUGGUGGCGCAGACUCUCAGGGACACUGGAAGGGCUUUGCAUGUGUGCUAAAGUCUCUUCAGUCAUGUCUGACUCUUUGUGACCCUCUGGACUGUAACCCACCAGGAU
ensembl:lncRNA